rnacentral:rRNA from 1 species
AACGCGUGGGAAUCUGCCCUUGGGUUCGGAAUAACAGUUAGAAAUGACUGCUAAUACCGGAUGAUGUCUUCGGACCAAAGAUUUAUCGCCCAAGGAUGAGCCCGCGUCGGAUUAGCUAGUUGGUGAGGUAAAGGCUCACCAAGGCGACGAUCCGUAGCUGGUCUGAGAGGAUGAUCAGCCACACUGGGACUGAGACACGGCCCAGACUCCUACGGGAGGCAGCAGUGGGGAAUAUUGCACAAUGGGGGAAACCCUGAUGCAGCCAUGCCGCGUGUGUGAAGAAGGCUUUCGGGUUGUAAA